AGUAGCAAUACUGAGUGGCAGACGGGUGAGUAACAUGUGGGAAUCUGCCUUGUGGUUCAGGACAACAUUGGGAAACCGAUGCUAAUACUGGAUAAGCCCUUACGGGGAAAGUUUUAAUGCCAUAAGAUGAGCCCGCAUUUGAUUAGUUAGUUGGUGAGGUAAUGGCUCACCAAGACAAUGAUCAAUAGCUGAUCUGAGAGGAUGAUCAGCCACACUGGGGCUGAGACACGGCCCAGACUCCUACGGGAGGCAGCAGUGGGGAAUCUUGCACAAUGGAGGAAACUCUGAUGCAGCGAUGCCGCGUGAGUGAAGAAGGCCUUUGGGUUGUAAAGCUCUUUUGUAGGGGAAGAUAAUGACUGUACCCUAAGAAUAAGGUCCGGCUAACUUCGUGCCAGCAGCCGCGGUAAUACGAAGGGACCUAGCGUAGUUCGGAAUUACUGGGCGUAAAGCGCGCGUAGGCCGUUGAGUUAGUUAAUUGUGAAAUCCCAAAGCUUAACUUUGGAACUGCAAUUAAAACUGCUCGACUAGAGUUUGAUAGAGGAAAGCGGAAUACAUAGUGUAGAGGUGAAAUUCGUAGAUAUUAUGUAGAACACCAGUUGCGAAGGCGGCUUUCUGGAUCAACACUGACGCU
rnacentral:rRNA from 1 species